rnacentral:misc_RNA from 1 species
UAAAUGCGAUAAGUAAUGUGAAUUGCAGAAUUCAGUGAAUCAUCGAAUCUUUGAACGCACCUUGCGCUCCUUGGUAUUCCUUGGAGCAUGCCUGUUUGAGUAUCAUGAAAUCUUCAAAGUAAAUCUUUUGUUAACUCAAUUGGUUUCUACUUUGGUAUUGGAGGUCUUUGCAGCUUCACACCUGCUCCUCUUUGUUCAUUAGCUGGAUCUCAGUGUUAUGCUUUGUUCCACUCGGCGUGAUAAGUUAUCUAUCGCUGAGGACACUGUAAAAGGUGGCCAAGGUAAAUGCAGAUGAACCGCUUCUAAUAGUCCAUUGACUUGGACAAUACUUUUAUGAUCUGAUCUCAAAUCAGGUAGGACUACCCGCUGAACUUAAGC